UACGUAGGUGGCAAGCGUUGUUCGGAUUUAUUGGGCGUAAAGGGCAUGUAGGCUGUUAUAUAAGUGUGAAUUGAAAGGCGCGGGCUCAACCCGCUGUUUGGUUUGCAAACUAUGUGACUAGAGUACAGAAGGGGAAACUGGAAUUCCGCGUGUAGGGGUGAAAUCUGUAGAUAUGCGGAAGAAUACUUGUGGCGAAGGCGAGUUUCUGGUCUGUAACUGACGCUGAAAUGCGAAAGUGUGGGGAG
rnacentral:rRNA from 1 species